GAUGAACGCUGGCGGCGUGCCUAAUACAUGCAAGUCGAGCGAACGGACGAGAAGCUUGCUUCUCUGAUGUUAGCGGCGGACGGGUGAGUAACACGUGGAUAACCUACCUAUAAGACUGGGAUAACUUCGGGAAACCGGAGCUAAUACCGGAUGAUAUUUUGAACCACAUGGUUCAAAAGUGAAAGACGGUCUUGCUGUCACUUAUAGAUGGAUCCGCGCUGCAUUAGCUAGUUGGUAAGGUAACGGCUUACCAAGGCAACGAUGCAUAGCCGACCUGAGAGGGUGAUCGGCCACACUGGAACUGGAACGCGGUCCAGACUCCUACGGGAGGCAGCAGUAGGGAAUCUUCCGCAAUGGGCGAGAGCCUGACGGAGCAGCGCCGCGUGAGUGAUGAAGGUCUUCGGAGCGUAAAACUCUGUUAUUAGGGAAGAACAUAUGUGUAAGUAACUGUGCACAUCUUGACGGUACCUAAUCAGAAAGCCACGGCUAACUACGUG
rnacentral:rRNA from 1 species